rnacentral:rRNA from 1 species
CCACUGCAUGCCCAGUAGCGGCGAGUGAGCGGCAAGAGCUCAGAUUUGAAAUCGUGCUAAUUUUUUUGCCACGAUUUGUAUAGUGUAGGCGGGAGUCUUUGUGGAGCCCGGUGUCCAAGUCCCUUGGAACAGGGCGCCUGAAAGGGUGAAAGCCCCGGGGGGUGCCGGGCGAAGCUUUGAGGCCCUGCUGACGAGUCAAGUUGUUUGGGAAUGCAGCUCCAAUUGGGUGGUAAAUUCCAUCUAAGGCUAAAUACUGGCAAGAGACCAAUAGCGAACAAGUACUGUGAAGGAAAAAUGAAAAGCACUUUGAAAAAAAAGUGAAACAGCACGUGAAAUUGUUGAAAGGAAAGGGUAUUGGGCCCAACAUGGGGAGUGCGCACCGCUGUCUCUUGUAGGGGGCGCUCUGGGCCCUCUCGGGGCCACCAUCGGUUCUUGCUGCGGGAGAAUGGGGGCCGAAAAGUGGCUCUUCGAAGUGUUAUACCCGGCGCCAAAUACCGCGUGCGGGGACCGAGGACUGCGGCUUCUGUCUCGGAUGCUGGCCCAACGGCGCAAUACCACCCGUCUUG